UACGUAGGGUGCGAGCGUUAAUCGGAAUUACUGGGCGUAAAGCGUGCGCAGGCGGUCCGCAAAGUCUGAUGUGAAAGCCCCGGGCUCAACCUGGGAACUGCAUUGGAAACUAACGGGCUCGAGUGUGGCAGAGGGGGGUGGGAAUUCCACUGUGUAGCAGUGAAAUGCGUAGAGAUGUGGAGGAACACCGAUGGCGAAGGCAGCCCCCUGGGCUAACACUGACGCCUCAGGCACGAAAGCGUGGGGAGCAAACAGG
rnacentral:rRNA from 1 species